UACGAAGGGGGCUAGCGUUGCUCGGAAUCACUGGGCGUAAAGGGUGCGUAGGCGGGUCUUUAAGUCAGGGGUGAAAUCCUGGAGCUCAACUCCAGAACUGCCUUUGAUACUGAGGAUCUUGAGUCCGGGAGAGGUGAGUGGAACUGCGAGUGUAGAGGUGAAAUUCGUAGAUAUUCGCAAGAACACCAGAGGCGAAGGCGGCUCACUGGCCCGGUACUGACGCUGAGGCACGAAAGCGUGGGGAGCAAACAGG
rnacentral:rRNA from 1 species